rnacentral:lncRNA from 1 species
AGCCACCCCACUCCAUCUCAUGUCAACCCAAUCAACUUCAAAAGUCAAGAUUUAGUCAUGCUUGGCAGCCACCAACUCCCCUAAUUUCAGCCCUCAAAUAUCUCUGCAUAAUUGAAGGAAACCCAUCCUUUGCACUUUCACUAGCAACUCAAAUAUCCUUCAAAUUACUCUCUCGUUCCAGCCUAUCCAUGGAGUUUCAAGUAUACAACAAGAGACCACCAUUCAAAGAACUCUUCCCCUACACAGACAUCACAAGGUGUUUACCUCAAUUUACUUUGCCUCUGUUUCAAGCACACACAGCUAUCUCGUUUGUACAGAACACCAACCAAGAUUUCAAUAUUUUCAUAACAAAUUCACAAGCAUGACAAAUUAUUUACAUAAAUGCAUACAAUCUGUAUACAUGUUUAUUCAUAGUCUG